rnacentral:rRNA from 2 species
UUGAAGAGUUUGAUCAUGGCUCAGAUUGAACGCUGGCGGCAGGCCUAACACAUGCAAGUCGAGCGGUAGCACAGAGAGCUUGCUCUCGGGUGACGAGCGGCGGACGGGUGAGUAAUGUCUGGGAAACUGCCUGAUGGAGGGGGAUAACUACUGGAAACGGUAGCUAAUACCGCAUAACGUCGCAAGACCAAAGUGGGGGACCUUCGGGCCUCAUGCCAUCAGAUGUGCCCAGAUGGGAUUAGCUGGUAGGUGGGGUAACGGCUCACCUAGGCGACGAUCCCUAGCUGGUCUGAGAGGAUGACCAGCCACACUGGAACUGAGACACGGUCCAGACUCCUACGGGAGGCAGCAGUGGGGAAUAUUGCACAAUGGGCGCAAGCCUGAUGCAGCCAUGCCGCGUGUGUGAAGAAGGCCUUCGGGUUGUAAAGCACUUUCAGCGGGGAGGAAGGCGAUAAGGUUAAUAACCUUGUCGAUUGACGUUACCCGCAGAAGAAGCACCGGCUAACUCCGUGCCAGCAGCCGCGGUAAUACGGAGGGUGCAAGCGUUAAUCGGAAUUACUGGGCGUAAAGCGCACGCAGGCGGUCUGUCAAGUCGGAUGUGAAAUCCCCGGGCUCAACCUGGGAACUGCAUUCGAAACUGGCAGGCUAGAGUCUUGUAGAGGGGGGUAGAAUUCCAGGUGUAGCGGUGAAAUGCGUAGAGAUCUGGAGGAAUACCGGUGGCGAAGGCGGCCCCCUGGACAAAGACUGACGCUCAGGUGCGAAAGCGUGGGGAGCAAACAGGAUUAGAUACCCUGGUAGUCCACGCUGUAAACGAUGUCGAUUUGGAGGUUGUGCCCUUGAGGCGUGGCUUCCGGAGCUAACGCGUUAAAUCGACCGCCUGGGGAGUACGGCCGCAAGGUUAAAACUCAAAUGAAUUGACGGGGGCCCGCACAAGCGGUGGAGCAUGUGGUUUAAUUCGAUGCAACGCGAAGAACCUUACCUGGUCUUGACAUCCACAGAACUUUCCAGAGAUGGAUUGGUGCCUUCGGGAACUGUGAGACAGGUGCUGCAUGGCUGUCGUCAGCUCGUGUUGUGAAAUGUUGGGUUAAGUCCCGCAACGAGCGCAACCCUUAUCCUUUGUUGCCAGCGGUCCGGCCGGGAACUCAAAGGAGACUGCCAGUGAUAAACUGGAGGAAGGUGGGGAUGACGUCAAGUCAUCAUACGACCAGGGCUACACACGUGCUACAAUGGCAUAUACAAAGAGAAGCGACCUCGCGAGAGCAAGCGGACCUCAUAAAGUAUGUCGUAGUCCGGAUUGGAGUCUGCAACUCGACUCCAUGAAGUCGGAAUCGCUAGUAAUCGUAGAUCAGAAUGCUACGGUGAAUACGUUCCCGGGCCUUGUACACACCGCCCGUCACACCAUGGGAGUGGGUUGCAAAAGAAGUAGGUAGCUUAACCUUCGGGAGGGCGCUUACCACUUUGUGAUUCAUGACUGGGGUGAAGUCGUAACAAGGUAACCGUAGGGGAACCUGCGGUUGGAUCACCUCCUU